GAUGAACGCUAGCUACAGGCCUAACUCAUGCAAGUCGAGGGGAAACGACAUCGAAAGCUUGCUUUUGAUGGGCGUCGACCGGCGCACGGGUGAGUAACGCGUAUCCAACCUGCCCACCACUUGGGGAUAACCUUGCGAAAGUAAGACUAAUACCCAAUGAUAUCUCUAGAAGACAUCUGAAAGAGAUUAAAGAUUUAUCGGUGAUGGAUGGGGAUGCGUCUGAUUAGCUUGUUGGCGGGGUAACGGCCCACCAAGGCUACGAUCAGUAGGGGUUCUGAGAGGAAGGUCCCCCACAUUGGAACUGAGACACGGUCCAAACUCCUACGGGAGGCAGCAGUGAGGAAUAUUGGUCAAUGGACGAGAGUCUGAACCAGCCAAGUAGCGUGCAGGAUGACGGCCCUAUGGGUUGUAAACUGCUUUUAUAAGAGAAUAAAGUGAGUCUCGUGAGACUUUUUGCAUGUACCUUAUGAAUAAGGACCGGCUAAUCCGUGCCAGCCGCCGCAGUAA
rnacentral:rRNA from 1 species